GCAUCUAAGUGUGAAGCCCACCUCAAGAUGAGAUUUCCCAUUUCUUUAAGAAAGUAAGAUCCCUGAGAGAUGAUCAGGUAGAUAGGUCAGGAGUGGAAGUACAGUGAUGUAUGGAGCGGACUGAUACUAAUCGAUCGAGGACUUAACCAAU
rnacentral:rRNA from 1 species